GAAUGUGGGGGCAAUCUGGCUGUGACGUCUGCCACCCACUUGAUGGCCAGGGUUGUUUCUCCUUCACUGCUCCAUGUGCAUCCAAACCUUAGGGUUAGGUAGACCUUCGCUAGUGAGGGGGACUGGUCCUUGGUCAAGAGUACAGUACUUGUAGCAGCACUAGAACCCUCAAACAAGUUCUGAAGAAAGGGAAAAUAGGCCACACGCAACUCACUGAAUAAAGUUGCUUGCUGUCAGGCCUGGCCACUUGCAUCCUAUC
rnacentral:snRNA from 1 species